ACAGGAAAAUGACCUAUGAACUGACAGACAAUAUGGCUAAGUUUGUCUGUCAUUUCUGUAGGCCAACAUUCUGU
rfam:Loxodonta africana unplaced genomic scaffold scaffold_74, whole genome shotgun sequence.